rnacentral:lncRNA from 1 species
ACGGGCCACCCGCCAGCCCCGCGCUCUACCAGGCAGAGCGCGUGUGGCCGCCGAGCACAUGGACCCACUGGUCAAGCGGGCUCGGCAAGGCCAGGAUGAAGAGAAGCUACGAACUUAGCAUUCCCAGAGCCCCCCGAGUGGAUAUCCGCGUGGAAAGGAUGUUGGCAGCCCCGGUGACCUCGGAGUCACGGCUGGAUCCACCCUCUUGUCUGAUUUUCUUAACUCUACUACGGUAAGAAGAUGCCCUCCAUCAGCAGGCCGUGUCUGCUGGGACCUCUCUGGAGACUUCCUGAACCCUGUGGAUUUACAGUAAGAUGCAGUUUCCUGGGGAGUAAUUCUGGUGGAUACAAAUUCCGGAGUAUUACACCUGGCUUGCCUGGAGAUGUUACAAGUAGCUGGAUGGAUUCUUCAGCCUGGAUGCCCACUGAAAACAAGGACCGAAACUAAGAGGAUUGUAUCUCUACCCUUGACUCAAUGAGAAUGUUUGUUGUCAUCUCUCGGGCUACCUGGAGCUCCCUCUAAAAUUAUACCCUUUAAGCGUUCCAGAAGGAUUUUGAGAUCCUUUCCUAAAUCAAAGGUGGAAUAUUUGGGGAUUUGGAAAAUUGAGAUGUGAAGCGUUGACUUAAGAGAUGCCAAGUAACUCAGCAGAUGUCACACAGACGAUAAAUAGCAAAGAUGGAAGUCUUCAUGCCGGAGGCAAUCCUAUAAGACAGCUGAGUUCUGCAGAGCUGGUAGGAGACAGACUUGCUCAGGUGAUAGAUCCAGCCAUGAUACUGACCCUAAGAGAAUGAGACGCUCUGCAGAAGACAGAAGAUUCCUGAAACUGGGAAAGGUGCCUAGAAAUCCUGAUAAGAGUGAAGAAGGCUCGGCUCUCCAGUGUGGUUUUCCAACAGGAGUCAAAUAUUAAAGGACAUGAGCGUGUUGGGGAAAAAGAUGGAUAGUGCUAAACAGCCUGAGUUCAUCCUCACUAUCCUCUUCAUAAGGAGAGCAAGAACAACCCCGGAAAUGGCUCAUGCUUAAGGUUUCUAACCACGGUCACACCUACAACACACUGAUUGACAAUAUAGGUUACAGUACACAUGGCUCUGCUAUUUGCUUUUUGGUCACUUUGAUAUUCCCUGGUACCUGGGAAGAAGGAAUCUCCGUUGAGGAGUUGCCUACAUUUGAUUAGCCCGUAGGCAUGUCUCUGAGGCCUUUUCAUAGUUGCUAAUUGAUGGAGGACAGCUUAGCCCACUGUGGGUGGUGCCAUCUCCUGGACAUGGGGUCCUGGCUUAUAUCAGAAGGGAAGCUAAGCAUGCGCCUGGGAGCAAGCCAGUAAGUAGGUCUCCUCCAUGGUCCCUGUCUCUGCUCCUGCCCUUAAUUUCCUCAGCGAAUGACUGAUGCAAACAUGUAAGCCAAACAAACCCUUCUUUCCUCUCUGUUACUGUUGGUCGUGGUGUUUAUCACAGCAAUAGGAAAAAACACUAGGGCAGUGACGUAUAAGAGUGCACUGUGCCAUUGUGAGGAUUCAAUAUCCUUAGCGAUCUUCAGAAAAAGUUUACUAUGGUGCCUGGAGCAUUGUUAUUUGCAGAGAUCCCUAGUGGCUCCUGGGCCUCAGUUUCCCUGUCUUCAUUCUGUCUGUAUUAUAUAAGCAUGGUGUCCAUAGCUCUAGCUCUUGCUUAAUGAUUCAACUGAGUAGGUACAACCAUGCUGACCAGCCAUGACAUGUCCUGCCUGGCCAUAGCCUGGAGUUGGACACAGAAACAGGGGCAUAGCUGCCUACUGUGUGUGGCACAGUGUGUGUCAAACUCCUGGAGGCAGCCAGGCAGCCAUCUCUAUAUUCUUCCUAUCAGAAUUCCUUUCACAGGUCCAAGCCAUCUUAAGAUGGAUAAAGGCCUGGCCUUCAGGCAAGGCUAUGCCUGUCAGUUCCGAAUCUCCAGCUAAGUGGACUUGCAGCCCUCCCUGUCCUCUGGAUGUCUGCAUCAUUCAUACAAGGGACACGUUCUCUUUAGAGAAGAGCGUCUUCUGGGCUUCUCCCAGGUUGGAAGUGUCCUCUACUUCUUUCUUCCUGGCAAAAGCACUGGCCUAAGCAGCUCAGGAACAACCUACAAUAGAGGGAGGGCCUCUUACCUCGGAUGGAAGUGGAAACAUAGUCUCCACGUUGGAACUGAGUCUUGGUUAUGCUCUGAGAAGUAGCCUGGAUUUCUAAGAUCUCAUGCUCAUCGUUUUCUCUGGAGGCCCAACUCUGUUCUCAUGAGCCCUGGCACGUUCCCUACCAGCAUCUUUGUUUCCUAUCUGAGGAGUGCGGAUGAUGCUUCUCCUGGUAAGGGGUAUGAAUAGAAUUCCUGCCUGUGUUCUAUGUGCUGAAUCCCAGAGCCUAGAGUAGGGCCUGGGCUCUGGCGAUUGACUGGUAAACACUUGUUUUGGAAGAGAUAGUAGAGUCUUUGGAGUUCCUGGCACAAUCUUCUUGGAUAGUUGCCUGUGCCCGUUCUAAACCAGGAUCUGACUAAUUACAACUCCUCCUGCUUGCAUUAAAGUUUUAUUGGAACAUG